UGAACUCAUGAAGUUCGCACCAACUACAUAUUCGUAUUGUAGAAAAAAUCUGUAAAUUAUAUAUCGUCGCACACUCCAUUACUAUACAUUUGUAAUUUGUUGACACACAAAUUUAUAGUACUAAUGAAGUAAUUUGUUGAAAGUUAUAGAGAGAGAAACAAUGUUAAGUGCUAUUUAAUGGGGCUAACAACUACUAUUUAAUUCAUUGGCAGAACAAGACAGCUAUUUCAUAAUUGUUCUUGAGCACGGUAAUCACAAGAACCAAACAUUUGUGUUGUGGUCAUGGGUUGUGUACACAAGGCCGUUGACCACCUCUAUUAAUUUCAAGGUUAUAGAAAUGGUAAUAUAUUUUACAUGGUAGGUUAACGUAAGAAUGCUGUGGGCCCACUCUAUCCAAUCUGUCCAACCGUGUUCUCCCUUGGCCAUUGGUGCGUUUCCAAAACGCUCCACCAAAAAGGUGUAAAUUUGACUGUGUUUUGC
rnacentral:lncRNA from 1 species